rnacentral:rRNA from 1 species
UACGAAGGGGGCUAGCGUUGUUCGGAAUCACUGGGCGUAAAGCGCACGUAGGCGGCGCGUUAAGUCAGGGGUGAAAUCCUGGAGCUCAACUCCAGAACUGCCUUUGAUACUGGCGUGCUCGAGUGUGGGAGAGGUUGGUGGAACUCCGAGUGUAGAGGUGAAAUUCGUAGAUAUUCGGAAGAACACCAGUGGCGAAGGCGGCCAACGGGCCCAUUAAUGACGAUGAGGUGCGAAAGCGUGGGGAGCAAACAGG